GCCCCAGUGGCCAAGUGGUUACGGCGCCGCACUUGUAUUACAUGUACGUGAUGCGGCGAUCGCGCGUUCAAUCCGCGCCUGGGGCU
rnacentral:tRNA from 1 species